GAAAGCAUUCGUGGGUGCCGAUGAUAGCUGU
rnacentral:piRNA from 1 species